rnacentral:rRNA from 1 species
GACUACCAUGGCGGUCACGGGUAACGGAGAAUUAGGGUUCGAUUCCGGAGAGGGAGCCUGAGAAACGGCUACCACUUCUAAGGAAGGCAGCAGGCGCGUAAAUUACCCAAUCCUGAUUCAGGGAGGUAGUGACAAGAAAUAACAACCUGGGGGACUUUCAGUCCUUACGGGAUUGCAAUGAGAACAAUUUAAACGACUUAUCGAGGAACAAUUGGAGGGCAAGUCUGGUGCCAGCAGCCGCGGUAAUUCCAGCUCCAAUAGCGUAUAUUAAAGUUGUUGCAGUUAAAAAGCUCGUAGUUGAACUUCUGUGUAUGUCCGGUUCUGGCUUCGUGUCAAGCCGUGAUGUGCACAUCCGCUUGCAAACCUAGUCCGGUCUUUAUUGGUCGACUUGGAGAGUAGGCAGUUUACUUUGAAAAAAUUAGAGUGUUUCAAGCAGGCAAUGGCUCGAAUACAUUGGCAUGGAAUAAUGGAAUAGGACUUUUGUCCAUUUGGUUGGUUAUUGGGCAUUAGUAAUGAUUAACAGGGACAGUUGGGGGCAUUAGUACUUAAUUGUCAGAGGUGAAAUUCUUGGAUUUAUUAAAGACUAACUUAUGCGAAAGCAUUUGCCAAGGAUGUUUUCAUUA